rnacentral:lncRNA from 1 species
UGCAAAGUCUUCACCUCCAUGGUCAUGAAAAGCAUUGUUGGCAUUCUCUCUUUCUCCUUUCUUUGCCUUGAAACAAUUUCUAGCAAAAUGGCCUGGUUUUCCACAAAUGUAACAAGUUUUAGGAGGAUAACGUUGAAAAGGGGCACUUGCCUUACUUGGUCUUCUAAAUAGUGCUGAUUGCUCCCCAAUAGACUCCCUUUGCUUUCUUUU